rnacentral:sRNA from 1 species
UCCGACACAGAAGAUAUUGGGAGUUUGGAUGUCGUUUAUCGGUGUGAAGGCCUGUAAUUUAUGGGAAUCCUAAAAAUAAAUGCAGAACACCCACCUUGUAUAGAAGGG